AGUGAACGCUGGCGGCAGGCCUAACACAUGCAAGUCGAACGGCAGCACAAGAGAGCUUGCUCUCUGGGUGGCGAGUGGCGGACGGGUGAGGAAUGCAUCGGAAUCUGCCCAUUUGUGGGGGAUAACCUCGGGAAACCGGGACUAAUACCGCAUACGACCUACGGGUGAAAGCAGGGGAUCUUCGGACCUUGCGCAGAUGGAUGAGCCGAUGCCGGAUUAGCUAGUUGGAGAGGUAAAGGCCCACCAAGGCGACGAUCCGUAGCUGGUCUGAGAGGAUGAUCAGCCACACUGGGACUGAGACACGGCCCAGACUCCUACGGGAGGCAGCAGUGGGGAAUAUUGGACAAUGGGCGCAAGCCUGAUCCAGCCAUGCCGCGUGUGUGAAGAAGGCCUUCGGGUUGUAAAGCACUUUUGUUGGGAAAGAAAAGCAGCCGGUUAAUACCCGGUUGUCAUGACGGUACCCAAAGAAUAAGCACCGGCUAACUUCGUG
rnacentral:rRNA from 1 species